AUUGAACGCUGGCGGCAGGCUUAACACAUGCAAGUCGAGCGGAGAGAGGUAGCUUGCUACCGAUCUUAGCGGCGGACGGGUGAGUAAUGCAUCGGAACGUGCCCAGUCGUGGGAGAUAACGCAGCGAAAGCUGUGCUAAUACCGUAUACGAUCUGUGGAUGAAAGCGGGGGACCUUCGGGCCUCGCGCGAUUGGAGCGGCCGAUGUCAGAUUAGGUAGUUGGUGGGGUAAAGGCCCACCAAGCCGACGAUCUGUAGCUGGUCUGAGAGGACGACCAGCCACACUGGGACUGAGACACGGCCCAGACUCCUACGGGAGGCAGCAGUGGGGAAUUUUGGACAAUGGGCGCAAGCCUGAUCCAGCAAUGCCGCGUGCAGGAAGAAGGCCUUCGGGUUGUAAACUGCUUUUGUACGGAGCGAAAAGGCUCCCUCUAAUACAGGGGGCUCAUGACGGUACCGUAAGAAUAAGCACCGGCUAACUACGUGCCAGCCGCCGCGGUAACAC
rnacentral:rRNA from 1 species